UAUUUGUAUAGCUUACAUAGAGCGUAAUAUUGAAGAUAUUAAGGAAUAAAUUUGUUACAAAUAU
rnacentral:tRNA from 1 species